GACCUGAUAGCACAAUGUCGAGUGCGUCUGCUCCAUAUUGUCCUGUGCGAGACGCCAUUUAAGCAGGAGACCCCGGUUCGAGCCCGGGUCAGGUCG